rnacentral:tRNA from 1 species
GGGGAAGUGGCGGAAUUGGUAGACGCACUCAAUAUCAGAGCGAGUUCAGUGGAAAUCUGUAUGCGAGUAUUGUAGGACGCUUCAAGAAAGCAGACACCUCAUCCCGGUUCGAAUCCGGGCUUCUCCA